rnacentral:rRNA from 1 species
UGGGGAAUAUUGGGCAAUGGAGGAAACUCUGACCCAGCAACGCCGCGUGAAGGAUGAAGGUUUUCGGAUUGUAAACUUCUGUCGCGAGGGACGAAGAAUGACGGUACCUCGUAAGAAAGCCCCGGCAAACUACGUGCCAGCAGCCGCGGUAAUACGUAGGGGGCGAGCGUUGUCCGGAAUGACUGGGCGUAAAGGGAGUGUAGGCGGCUCUUUAAGUUAUAUGUGAAAUCCCGCGGCUCAACCGUGGAAGUGCAUAUAAAACUGGGGAGCUGGAGUGCAGGAGAGGUGAGUGGAAUUCCUAGUGUAGCGGUGGAAUGCGUAGAUAUUAGGAAGAACACCGGUGGCGAAGGCGGCUCACUGGACUGUAACUGACGCUGAGGCUCGAAAGCGUGGGGAGCAAACAGG